ensembl:lncRNA
GUUGGGGUGGGGGUGACUGUCAGGGCUUUGCCCUUUGUCAUGGGGGAAGAGACACCCCAGACACCCUCGAGGAGGGAGAGGCACGAUGGGUGAGUGACCGGCUCAGGGCCCCCACUGGUGCCUCCCCACUGCGCCCUGAGGCCCGUCAGAGCUGUGAGCACCCCAGCCGGUGCUGAGCCCUGGAGCCCCCCAGCAGGCCCCGCCCCUUCCUCCACUUCUAGUAGGUGGGACACCCCUUCCCCUUGUCACUUCAAGAGCACUGCAGGCCCUGCCCGCUUUGUCCUCUUCUAGUUGGUGCGACACCCCUUCUUGUCAUUCCAGGAGCACUGCAGACCUCGCCCUCUUCCUCAAUGUCUAGUAGGUGGGACACCCCUUCUCCUUGUCACUCCAGGAACAGUUCUGGAGCCAAUGUGUGACUGGUUCUGGGGUUUGCAGGCUGAGCCCCUGAUUCUGUGCCCCCUUCACCACAUGAGCACUAAGAGCAAGCUAUCUACCCUGCUGCCUGAAUGCCCUCACCCCCACUCAGUAUUCUCAGGGAAGGAUUAGGGGCUUCUGUAGCAGCAUCUGAACCCUCCUUUAAUAGGGGUAUCCUUGUUCACAACCCUUUAACCCCAACCUUUAGCUGCUGCUGCUAAGUCGCUUCAGUCAUGUCCGACCCUGUGCGACCCCAUAGACGGCAGUCCACCAGGCUCUGCAGCCCCUGGGAUUCUCCAGGCAAGAACACUGGAGUGGGUUGCCAUUUCCUUCUCCAGUGCAUCAAAGUGAAAAGUGAAAGUGAAGUCGCUCAGUCAUGUCUGACUCUUAGCGACCCCAGGGGCUUCUGUAGCAGCAUAUGAACCCUCCUUUAAUAGGGGUGUCCUUGUUCACAACCCUUUAACCCCAACCUUUAGCAGGAGGUAACAAAAGUCUCUAAGGUAAAGGUUCCAGAGAAGAAUGGUAGCUGCAAGCAAAACUAGAUGGAACCAGCUGGGACCAAGCUGGCAAUGAAUCUGACUUCCAACAGACAUUGUGUGUUGAUUUUACUGUAUUAU